AGACUUGAAUGAAUGAAUGAAUGGGGUGGUACUUUCUUUAAUUUAAAAUUAAAAUUAAUUUUUUUAGUGCAGAAACUAAAAUAAGUAUAAGGGACGAGAAGACCCUAUUAAGCUUUAUAGAAUUAUUUUGUUGGGGAAACAGAAGGGAAAAUUCUCUUCAAUUUUUUUUUUUGAUAAAAUUUGAUUUAUUAUUAGUGAUAAAAGAAUAAGUUACUAUAGGGGUAACAGCAUAAUUUUUUUGGGAAGUACUUAUUUAUAAAAAAGAUUAUGACCUCGAUGUUGGAUUAAAAAAAUUGUAUUAUGUAGUUGUUAUAUAAAUUAGUCUGUUCGACUAUUAAAAUUUUA
rnacentral:rRNA from 1 species